GACGAACGCUGGCGGCGUGCUUAACACAUGCAAGUCGAACGGAGCGAAUGAAAGCUUGCUUUUAUGAGCUUAGUGACAAACGGGUGAGUAACACGUAGACAACCUGCCGACAGGAUGGGGACAACAUUCCGAAAGGAAUGCUAAUACCGAAUGAAGCGGAGGAGAGGCAUCUCUCUUCCGUGAAAGAUGGCCUCUGAAUAUGCUAUCACCUGUCGAUGGGUCUGCGUCUGAUUAGCUGGUUGGUGAGGUAACGGCUCACCAAGGCGACGAUCAGUAGCCGGUCUGAGAGGAUGAACGGCCACAUUGGGACUGAGACACGGCCCAGACUCCUACGGGAGGCAGCAGUGGGGAAUCUUCCGCAAUGGGCGCAAGCCUGACGGAGCAACGCCGCGUGAGUGAAGAAGGUCUUCGGAUCGUAAAGCUCUGUUGAUGGGGACGAACGUGCGAAGGGUGAAUAAUCCUUUGCAAUGACG
rnacentral:rRNA from 1 species